ensembl:lncRNA
AGGUUCGGGAGGAGUACGUAAGAUANAGAUAAUCAACACUAGGGUAUAAAUACAGCUGACUUACCCCUAUCCAUUGACGGUUUAUCAGCAUUCGGUUUGCACCUUUUGCCAUUAUAUGGCAGACUCAGCGUUUCUCAUUUAGACGACGAGGUCUAUACUGGGGAUUUUUCAGUUCUCUGGCCAAUCUGCCGGGCCCAGGAUCGCUCCUUCUCCGCCAGACACCGCCGCGAGCUCCGUGCUCCAUUGCGGCCGCUGCUCUGCUAGACCAGCCACACGCUCCCCACGACGCCGAGGCUUAAUCUCGCCUCUGCCGGCGUCACGUCCAUUUUUUUCCCCGGUGUCCUUUUAUCUUUAGGCUGUGCCUACAAUUCCUCCAAUCGGAAGUGGACUGCACGUAAUCCUGAGGCAAAAAGGGAUUAAAUCCGACGCUCCGUCCUCGCGAAGGUAAACAAAGCGGAUCUGUAAGAUCUAAGUUAUUAGUCUCCCAGCAAUCCGCCAACCUCACUCCUAAAUCAAUUGUCAAUAUCAAGCAGCAAAACCAACUGUUUGUACAGCUAAAAAUAUGCUUUACCACUAAGAAACAAUCAACAAGCGCAACCUAAUUCACAUGUGACGUGAGUAUUACUAGGCACCUCUCUCCAAGUCUAGCCAACGUGCGCAUCGGCUAGUUUUUCAAUACUUUUUUAUUCGCGUGAUUUAAGAGGAAAUGCAUGUGUUUUUAAACCUAAUAACCUUAAAGUUGCAUGUUUAAAAAACAAACAAACAAAAAAAAACCCUGCAGCAGUUCUCGCUCCCGCAGGAACCUCUAUCUAUAUAUCUCCGCUCCCUCAGGAGCUUUUCCCUAUUUUCUCCACUGCCGCUGCAGUGUCCGCUCCCGCAGGAGCGUGUAUCUAUAUUUCUCCACUGCCACUGCAGUGUCCGCUCCCGCAGGAGCCUCUAUCUAUAUUUCUCCACUGCCGCUGCAGUUCUCGCUCCCAUGGGGCCCUCUAUCUAUAUUUCUCCACUGCCGCUGCAGUUCUCGCUCCCGCAGGAGCCUCUAUCUAUAUCUCUCCACUGCCGCUGCAGUUCUCGCUCCCGCAGGAGCCUCUAUCUAUAUCUCUCCACUGCAGCGAACGCUUUCACAGAAGCCAAGGAAAGGGGGGGAAAGAGAGAGAGAGAGAGAAAAGAAAAAAAAAAAAAAAACUGGCCCUUAAAAAAAAAAAGCAUUUAAAAAUCCCCUAAAAAACAAAAAAAUACAAAGUAUGAUUAUUGUUAUAUAACUAAAUGAUAUGAAAUGAUAUGUACAUGAAUUAUAUAACAAAAAUUAACUGUAAUUACAUAUUUAGGUUAAAUAAAGAUGUUAGUCUUUUUGGCUUAAGGCUAUCA